rnacentral:rRNA from 1 species
AUUGAACGCUGGCGGCAUGCCUUACACAUGCAAGUCGAACGGCAGCACGGGUGCUUGCACCUGGUGGCGAGUGGCGAACGGGUGAGUAAUACAUCGGAACAUGUCCUGUAGUGGGGGAUAGCCCGGCGAAAGCCGGAUUAAUACCGCAUACGAUCUACGGAUGAAAGCGGGGGACCUUCGGGCCUCGCGCUAUAGGGUUGGCCGAUGGCUGAUUAGCUAGUUGGUGGGGUACAGGCCUACCAAGGCGACGAUCAGUAGCUGGUCUGAGAGGACGACCAGCCACACUGGGACUGAGACACGGCCCAGACUCCUACGGGAGGCAGCAGUGGGGAAUUUGGGACAAUGGGCGAAAGCCUGAUCCAGCAAUGCCGCGUGUGUGAAGAAGGCCUUCGGGUUGUAAAGCACUUUUGUCCGGAAAGAAAUCCUUGGCCCUAAGACGGUCGGGGGAUGACGGUACCGGAAGAAUAAGCACCGGCUAACUACGUG